AGGGAACCCACUAUCAAGAUACCAAAUGGAUUCUGUUGACCUCGGUACCUGCAUGGACAAUCAUUGUUUAUUUUGGUACCUAUACUCUCUUGGGUCCUGCAAUGUUAGUUACCUUGGGAACCCAAACUUGCCUAAUCUUGGGUCUACAAUAUGUAGUAUGCUCCAUAGUAGUUAAGGCGUCGCCUCGUCCAGUCAGUAAGGAAUAGGCAAGGCAAGCGAGCGACUUGGUUGAUGGAGGAAAGGCGAGCACCUAGAAAGAACAAUCGUCGCCUUGGACGACUAACCGACUGAUCGAGCGACUUGGUCUGUAUGGGUAUGAAUCAACCCAAAUCUGAACGGGGUAAAAAAAACGAUGUCGCAGUUGGAACAAGAAAACUAGCCCUGGUCGAGUCGAUUGAUCCAUUAGCAGAGAACUAUCAGAAGUUCGAUAAAAUCGAAGUCGAGAAAACCGAGACUGCGAAGCGAAGAAUAAAGCGAAGUCGAUAGAGAGAUUGGGAGGGCGAAAGGCUGCAACCGAGAGUGAGAAAUUGAGAGCGAGAGACUUUGACCGAACUGUGCGAGUAGCGCGACUACGAUCGUCGAUUGGCAGGUAUUUGAGGUAUGUCGUCUUUUUUUUUUCCUUCACCUUUUCUGCUUACUGCUUGGCUGCGUGGAUGUUAUAUAUAUGUUGGUCGGUGUUUUAUUUUUCUUCAUACCGAGCCUGCCUAUCUGACUGUUGGCUUUUUUUUUGGUUAGCCUGUUUUCUUUCUGUUGGGUCUAUGUAUAUAAAUUUAUAUAUACAUAUAUAAAUAAAUAAAUAUAUAUAUAUAUAUAUAUAUAUAUAUAUAUAUAUAUAUAUAAAUUUAUGCUUAUACAUACAUAAGGCCAUUUAAAGACCGUCUUAUAACUUAUAAAGGUCAUUUAAAGACUGUCUUAUAUUUAUAUACUAAUACAUGCUUAUAUAAAGACUGUCUUUUAUUUUUUAUUUGAAUGUAUAUUUGUAUUGUGUAGAAAGUAAAAUGGCGGAAAGUUCGGGGCCGAUAAUUAUGAUAUAACGAAGGACCCUUAAAAGAAAAGCUAAAUCGAAC
rnacentral:lncRNA from 1 species